rnacentral:rRNA from 1 species
UACGUAGGGCGCAAGCGUUGUCCGGAAUUAUUGGGCGUAAAGGGCUCGUAGGCGGUUUGUCGCGUUGUCCGUGAAAACUCACAGCUCAACUGUGGGCGUGCGGGCGAUACGGGCAGACUGGAGUACUGCAGGGGAGACUGGAAUUCCUGGUGUAGCGGUGGAAUGCGCAGAUAUCAGGAGGAACACCGGUGGCGAAGGCGGGUCUCUGGGCAGUAACUGACGCUGAGGAGCGAAAGCGUGGGGAGCGAACAGG